CAUCACUCACCUCAACAGGAUUCCUUGGGACAAGAAAUAAAUGGAGCCAACUUGAUACCAGAGUGAGCCUGGAGUUUGGGGCCACAGAAAAAUGAUGCCCACAGCAUGCAGGGACAUCAUGGUAGCUGCACUGAGGGGAAGAAAAACAGAGCCCAGCAAAGGUCCAGAAGCCACCCAGGAACCCCAGGCCCUAAAAGCUGUCCUUUUUGACUGAGACUAUUUGAAAUACACACAUCUGAGAUGUUUCUACUUUAUUCAGAGGGCUAAUUUUACCUGGCAAAACAAAUUCAUGAAGUGAACCCAGCCAUUUCAAAUCCAAAUUGGCUUCAACUAUUAAGAGGAGACAAAUGGAACAACAGAAUCAGAGAAGCAGACUUAGGGUCAUCGAAUGUGGCUCCCCAAGGAUGUAGCCUGAAGAUGACUAAGAGCUUCUGGGAAGUAGAGAGGCUUGUCCUAAAAAUCCAUGACCAAAAUACUAAUAUUUGUGUGUAAACAGUCCAUUCUAAUUCAGUUCAAGACAUUAUUUAAUGUUGUACCUAAAAGAAGCCAAGAUGUGAAGGAGGAACAGAUUUCAGUACAUAAUGGGAUUGGACAUACCCUUUGUAGCUUGUUUAUUUUAUUUCCAUGGGCAUCCUUCUCCUUGCUAAGUUAUUUUGACUACUGAGAUAUCUUGGGUUGAUACUUAUGAUGAAUUUCUUUAGAACCACUUUUCAUCUUGAUGAAAUGUAUGUCUGUUUUUGUCUACACAGACCUAUUUUAAAAUCCCAAAACAUCUGUCACUUACUAGGUGUCAUCUUAAUUUAUUACUUAACCCCUCUUUAUUGUUAAAACAGACUAACAUACAUACACCAAAGUUUGCUAGCAGGCUUAAUUUGAAGAAUACUUGUGAAGGGAUUUAACUCAUAGCACUCAGGAAAUCUUCCCCAUCCUACCUUUAACACUUUAAUUCGUAAGCAUCAGAAUCUAUCCUCCAGCCUCACCUCAAUUUCCUUAAAUUUUUAAAAUGUAAUUUGAAAAAUGAGAGGUCUUAUAUCAAUACUGUUUUAUUAUAGGAAAAAUUACUAGGAGACCUAGCUGGGCCUAAAGAAAAUAAAUCCAUGGGGUAAAAGAAACAUGGGCUUUAUUUCUCUGGAUCCAAAACAACCAGGCAGUUGGAUUAAUUUAACCAUACAUUAAAUCAAGUCAAUAAAAAAAUCAUUAGCCAAGGA